GAUGAACGCUGGCGGCGUGCCUAAUACAUGCAAGUAGAACGCUGAAGGAGGAGCUUGCUCUUCUGGAUGAGUUGCGAACGGGUGAGUAACGCGUAGGUAACCUGCCUGGUAGCGGGGGAUAACUAUUGGAAACGAUAGCUAAUACCGCAUGACAACAGUUAUUGCAUGAUAACUGUUUGAAAGGGGCAACUGCUCCACUACCAGAUGGACCUGCGUUGUAUUAGCUAGUUGGUGAGGUAACGGCGCACCAAGGCGAGGAUACAUAGCCGACCUGAGAGGGGGAGCGGCCACACUGGGACUGAGACACGGCCCAGACUCCUACGGGAGGCAGCAGUAGGGAAUCUUCGGCAAUGGACGGAAGUCUGACCGAGCAACGCCGCGGGAGUGAAGAAGGUUGUCGGAUCGUAAAGCUCGGUUGUAAGGGAAGAACGAGUGUGAGAGUGGAAAGUUCACACUGUGACGGUAUCUUACCAGAAAGGGACGGCUAACUACGUG
rnacentral:rRNA from 1 species